CAUGUCUUUUUGAGAAUAAUUUAAAGUCUGACCUGCCCUAUGAAUUAUUUUAAAUGGCUGCGGUAUUUUGACCGUACAAAGGUAGCAUAAUAAUUAGUUUUUUAAUUGGGAACUGGUAUGAAUGGUCGAACGAGAUAAAAACUGUCUCAAUUUAAAUGUAAUUAGAAUUUUAUUUUUAAGUAAAAAAGCUUAAAUAAUUUUAAAAGACGAGAAGACCCUAUAGAGUUUUAUAUAAAUUUAAUUAUUUGAGAGUUAAAGAAUUAAAAAUUUAUUUAUUUAAGUUUAUAUUUGGUUGGGGUGAUUAAAAAAUUGAAAUAACUUUUUUUAAAUUAAACCAUUGAUAUAUGAUUAAGUGAUCCAUAUUUUAUGAUUAUAAGAUUAAAUUACCUUAGGGAUAACAGCGUAAUUUUUUUUUAGAGUUCUUAUCGAAAAAAAAGUUUGCGACC
rnacentral:rRNA from 1 species